GGUGAGUAACGCGUGAAUAACCUGCCUUUCAGUGGGGGACAACAGUUGGAAACGACUGCUAAUACCGCAUGAUACUUUUUGGAGGCAUCUCUGAAAAGUCAAAGCUUUAUGUGCUGAAAGAUGGAUUCGCGUCUGAUUAGCUGGUUGGCGGGGUAACGGCCCACCAAGGCGACGAUCAGUAGCCGGUCUGAGAGGAUGAACGGCCACAUUGGGACUGAGAUACGGCCCAGACUCCUACGGGAGGCAGCAGUGGGGAAUAUUGGGCAAUGGGGGAAACCCUGACCCAGCAACGCCGCGUGAAGGAAGAAGGCUUUCGGGUUGUAAACUUCUUUUACCAGGGACGAAGGACGUGACGGUACCUGGAGAAAAAGCAACGGCUAACUACGUGCCAGCAGCCGCGGUAAUACGUAGGUUGCAAGCGUUGUCCGGAUUUACUGGGUGUAAAGGGCGUGUAGGCGGAGAAGCAAGUUGGGAGUGAAAUCCAUGGGCUCAACCCAUGAACUGCUCUCAAAACUGUUUCCCUUGAGUAUCGGAGAGGCAAGCGGAAUUCCUAGUGUAGCGGUGAAAUGCGUAGAUAUUAGGAGGAACACCAGUGGCGAAGGCGGCUUGCUGGACGACAACUGACGCUGAGGCGCGAAAGCGUGGGGAGCAAACAGGAUUAGAUACCCUGGUAGUCCACGCUGUAAACGAUGAAUACUAGGUGUGGGGGGACUGACCCCCUCCGUGCCGCAGUUAACACAAAA
rnacentral:rRNA from 1 species